rnacentral:lncRNA from 1 species
CACCCAUCAAGAUAGGAAGCACUUUUACAGGUGGGCUCUGUUUGGUCAAACUGUAUUUUACAAUUAUGACUAUGAAAAAAGAGUGUCUUUGAGAAUUUACCUUUAGAUAGCAAAUUCCUAUACCCCUUCUCCAAUUUACUCACCCCUUGGUCCUUAUUUCUAACAUUCUAUAAUGUUUUACUUGUUUUAUCUUUAUUGUCUGACACAUUACUACUGAGGGAAUGAGUGAAUUGUCUCAAACUGUACCAUCCUCACUGCUCACAAAGUCGGAUAGCAAAGAGCGGUGGUAGCAGCUCAGACUGAAAGGGAUCUGGAUGACUUCAGUGAUGGAGGCAGCAGAUUAUCCAGGCUGAACUCAAAGUCCCACGCAAAUGAAGGGGAAUCUCUUCCUGUUCCUGCUCUUGCUCAGAGGCAUGCGGCUGGGUCAGCGCCUUGUGGAGUCUGUGAAGUUUAGGCCUCUGUCUCAAAUAUUACUGAACAACCAACUUAGCUUCAGCUGCAGGUGGGUGC